UACGUAGGUGGCAAGCGUUGUUCGGAAUUAUUGGGCGUAAAGGGCGCGUAGGCGGUACGGUAAGUCACCUGUGAAACCUCUGGGCUUAACUCAGAGCCUGCAGGCGAAACUGCCGUGCUGGAGGGUGGGAGAGGUGCGUGGAAUUCCCGGUGUAGCGGUGAAAUGCGUAGAUAUCGGGAAGAACACCAGUGGCGAAGGCGGCUCACUGGCCCGUAACUGACGCUGAGGUGCGAAAGCGUGGGGAGCAAACAGG
rnacentral:rRNA from 1 species